rnacentral:rRNA from 1 species
GACGUAGGUGGCGAACGUUAUCCGGAAUUAUUGGGCGUAAAGGAUGCGUAGAUGGUGUAGUAAGUUAUCGGUGGUAAAUCGAGGCUCAACCUCGUGGAAGUCGGUAAUACUGCUAUGCUAGAGGAUAGGAGAGGUUAACGGAACUCCCUGUGGAGCGGUGAAAUGCGUAGAUAUAGGGAAGAACACCAAUAAGGCGAAGGCAGUUAACUAUUCUAUUCCUGACAUUGAGGCAUGAAAGCGUGGGGAGCAAAACGGG